rnacentral:sRNA from 1 species
UAACCGAACAGACACCGCACUCUUUGCGGGA